rnacentral:rRNA from 1 species
GCAUACACGAAAGUGUGACAGGGUCUAUCCCGAGUGCCGUCCGCUGAGGAUGGCUUUUACCCAGUCUAGAAAGCUGGGAGAAUAAGGAGAGGGCAAGUCUGGUGUCAGCCGCCGCGGUAAUACCAGCUCUCCGAGUGGUGUGGAUGUUUAUUGGGCCUAAAGCAUCCGUAGCUGGCCAAGCCAGUCCCCUGUUAAACCCAACGAAUUAAUCGUUGGAUUGCGGGGGAUACUGCUCGGCUAGGGGACGAGAGAGGCCGACGGUAUUCUCGGGGUAGGGGUGAAAUCCUAUAAUCCCGGGAAGACCACCAGUGGCGAAGGCUGUCGGCUAGAACGAGCCCGACGGUGAGGGAUGAAAGCUGGGGGAGCGAACCGGAUUAGAUACCCGGGUAGUCCCAGCUGUAAACGAUGCAGGCUAGGUGUUUGGACGGCCACGUGCCGUUCUAGUGCCGCAGGGAAGCUGUUAAGCCUGCCGCCUGGGGAGUACGGUCGCAAGAUUGAAACUUAAAGGAAUUGGCGGGGGAGCAC